rnacentral:tRNA from 1 species
CGGGGCGUAGCGCAGCCUGGCUAGCGCACCUCAAUGGGGUUGAGGGGGUCGGAGGUUCAAAUCCUCUCGCCCCGGCCA